AUCCCUGUAGCACAGUGGAUAGCGCUUUGGACUUCCAAUCCAAACAAUGUGGGUUCGAAUUCCACCAGGUAUG
rnacentral:tRNA from 1 species